UACGUAGGGGGCAAGCGUUGUCCGGAAUCAUUGGGCGUAAAGAGCGUGUAGGCGGCUUGGUAAGUCCGCUGUGAAAGUCCAGGGCUCAACCCUGGAAAGCCGGUGGAAACUGUCAAGCUUGAGUCCGGAAGAGGCGAGUGGAAUUCCUGGUGUAGCGGUGAAAUGCGCAGAUAUCAGGAGGAACACCGGUGGCGAAGGCGGUUCUCUGGGCCUGUACUGACGCUGAGGGCGAA
rnacentral:rRNA from 1 species